AUAUAAAUAAUCCUACUAUAAAUGAUGAUAAUUAUGUUUCAUGAAAAUAAUCCUAAUAUAAAACAUAGUGAAGAAUAAUAUUCCUUUUUGAUAAUAAUCCAAUUUAAUAAUAAUCCACUUUAAUAAUAAUCCAAUUUAAUGAAUAAUCCAAUUUGAUAAUAAAAAAACCUAAUAUUAAUGAAUAAUCCAAUUUGAUAAUAAAAAAAACCUAAUAUUAAUGAAUAAAAAUGAAUAAUUCAUUUUUUUUUCCUAAGUUUUGGACCUUUUGGUUCAACCCAACCCAACCCAAGUGUGGUUAUAUUUGAGAUUUGGGCCUAAGGUCAAGUUUGGAGACUACAUUAAGUGGGUUUUAAUGAAUAGUCCAAUUUGAUAAUAAGCCAAUUUAAUGAAUAAUAAUCCAAUUUUAUAAUAAUCUAAUUUAAUGAAUAAUAAUCCAAUUUGAUAAUAACAAAACCUAAUAUUAAUGAAUAAUAAUCCAAUUUGAUAAAAAAAUAAUCCUAAUAUAAAUGAUGAAUAAU
rnacentral:lncRNA from 1 species